rnacentral:lncRNA from 1 species
UAUAUGUCAUUCUGUUUAUGUUAUUUCCUAUGUUUUUUGCUUAUAUACCAACUUUAAAAGAAAAUCUUUACGUAACUGAAUGAAUUUUCAGGAUACAAAUUCUUUCUUCAACAAGUUUGGUAUAGCGGCAAGUUGUUGUUGUAUUAUCUAUACAAUUUUCAAACUUUCAUGCCUUAUUUCAAUCUUGAAAGUUCCAAAUUUCAUAGGCAGUAAAUGUAAAAGCGAGGCUAUUAUUAUAGCAUGGAUAAUCCAGUGUCCUAUCUAUGAAAAUCAUAUUCUGAUUGUGUAAUGCACUGUAUUCCAUAGAAGCUCAUACUGGUAAGAACUCAUCGACCUGUGACUUUUCAACUAGUAAGCCCAAAGCAAUAAGAAUAUGUAUCUUCUUGUAUGUUCACUCAAUAUGUCAAAGAAAGGGAAGGGAUAGAGAAUUUGUUUGGAGAUGGAAUCCAACAUCCUUUCAUUUGUGUUUUCCUUGUUAGAUACGCCACUACCGAGACAAAAGAUUGCCUAUAAUGGAUUUAUCCAUUAUGCUUAAGAGAAUACUUUCCUUGAAAUUGGCCUUUGCUAUGUUUGGGGUUUAAGGAUCGAUAAUUUGGAGAUGGAAAAACUUGUUCUUAGUCAACAAAAUCAUGGAAGAGCUAGGAAGACUAGGUUUGAGUUGUAGCUUAAAGAUCUUGAAUUAUCAAUGAAGAAGAUCAAUCUAUGAUUGGUAAAACAUCUAAACUUUAUAUGCAAUGUUACAUGAGUUUUAAAUAUGGUUGUUUAAGUUUAACCAAAGCAGCAUAUCUGGAGAGGUCAUGGAGGCUUCUAAUCUUAGAUGUAGCCGCUGAAUGAAAUAUAAGGAUUUUUCCCUACUUUGAUCCGGUGUUAAGUGUUCUUGGAAAAAGACGUGUGUUAGAGGAAUUUUCAAGAGAAUCGGCUCGGGUAUGUUAAGGCUAUCCCUUUUUUCUUUUGGCAUGAUCCAUAUGAUACGAACAAAACGUGCAAAUGCACAAAUUCCAUGAAUGACUCUAUUCAUAGAAGUAUUAGAGAUAUCUAUGUUCCUGAAUUUCCAUGUGUCAUAAUAGUUUAUCAUCUGUCCAUGGGUCUCAGAAAAAUACAAAAGUUGAAACGAGCUUACUUUAUGAUAUUGCUCAAAGACAAAAUGGUCUUAAAAAAUUCCGAAAGAUUUAAUUGACGUACUUUUCAUGCAUUGCAUUCAUGUGCAUUGACCCAUGGCCAGAUGGUGUUAUACACAUGUAUAUAUGUAAAUAUAUGUAUAUGGGAUAUGGAAAAAGGUUACGGAGUUAUAUACGCACACAUCACCUGAUCAGUUGGUAUAUGAUGAUGAUGUUGCCCACAGUGGCUAAAAUAUGAUUCAAACGGCGUUAUAUACGCGUAUAUAUGUAAAUAUUAUUCAAACGACAUUAUAUAUGCACAUAUAUGUAUGUGUAUAUAUAUAUGUAUAUGAGAUACAGGAAAGGUUAUGGCGUUAUGUACACACCACCAGCUGAUCAGCUGGUAUACAAUGAUGAUUUUGCCCACAGUGGUCAAUAUGAUAUGAUGGGAUGCCCUCAGAGGCUGCUGAUGUUAUGAAACAUGUACCUAUGCACGACAUGUCAUUCAUACGCAUACAUAUGACACUAGAAGUAAUUUAUGAUUUACAAAGUUAUUCAGACUUACAGGUUAAGUCAUGUUCUCUAUAUGUCUUCCAUGUCUCUUAUGUAUUUAUUUAUGUGCCUUACAUACUUGGUACAUUAUUCGUACUGAUGUCUCUUUUGCCUGGGGACGUUGCGUUUCAUGCCCGUACGUCUCGAUAGACAGGUCGAGAGCCCUCCAAGUAGGCUAUCAGCUCAGUGGAAGAUGUUGGUGCGCUCCAUUUGUUUUGGAGUUGCUCGUUUGGUUAGUAUGAUUUAGACAUGUAUUGUUUGGUAUGGCGGGACACUGUCCCGACCUUUAUGACAUUUAUGUAUUCUUAGAGGCUUGUAGACAUAUGUCGUGUACGUAAAAGGUUGUACGGCCUUGUCGGCCUAUGUUUUGAGUUUAUAAAGAAUCAUGUUGGCCUAUUAGGACCGUAUGUCAUUUGUAUAUGAUGAUGCAAUAAGAAAGAUAUGUUACGUUGGUACUCGGUUGAGUAAGGUAUCGGGUGCCCAUCGCGGCCCAUCGGUUUGGGUCAUGACAACAAUCUCUAUGAUUCCUCUGAUUCUACUUUUCC